rnacentral:rRNA from 1 species
GACGAACGCUGGCGGCGUGCUUAACACAUGCAAGUCGAGCGGUAAGGCCCUUUCGGGGGUACGACGAGCGGCGAACGGGUGAGUAACACGUGGGUGACCUGCCCUCAGCUCUGGGAUAAGCCUGGGAAACCGGGUCUAAUACCGGAUAUGACUCCAUGACGCAUGUUGUGGGGUGGAAAGCCUUGUGCGGCUGAGGAUGGGCCCGCGGCCUAUCAGCUUGUUGGUGGGGUGANGGCCUACCAAGGCGACGACGGGUAGCCGGCCUGAGAGGGCGACCGGCCACACUGGGACUGAGACACGGCCCGGACUCCUACGGGAGGCAGCAGUGGGGAAUCUUGCGCAAUGGGCGAAGGCCUGACGCAGCGACGCCGCGUGAGGGAUGACGGCCUGUGUAAC